GAAUCGAUUACAGAUUUCUACUUGCAGAAAAGGCAAGAAUGGCUGAUUAGGAAAAAAGAUAAUCCCAAGGGAGGAGUUGGGCAGGAGGAAAGAGAUAAGAUGGAAAACCACUCUGCCAUAAAGGACCUGGGCUCUUCCAGUUCAUGGCCACCCAUCAUGGCUCCUCUUAAUGGGGCCCUGGGUGUAACUUGGUUCCUUACACUUACUGGCAAGUUCUUGGCCAACUGAGCCAUUCCCCCAACUCUGUGUUGUCUCUUCUAUACAUCCUCAAGCUGCUAUAGACAAAAGAGAAUUGAGAGGUUUUCUUGCCCUAAAUCUGGUCCAAAGUAUGAAGAUACUCUUUCCUUUUCCAGUGUGUAUAUCAGUCUGUGGUAGGGGUCAGGAGUAGACCUGCCUGACUUCCCAUUUACAGUAAUGCAGAGUAGUCUCAAAGACAAGUGGCCCCUUGUAUAUCAAUACGUUUCUCCAUUGGUCCUACUUUACAGCUCAGCUGGACACAGCUCAAGUGAGCUGCACAUAUAUUCUCCCUCUACAACCCACUAUAAAGGAGUGGAUGCUCUCUGGAACAUUCUAACCCCACUGCAGAGGCUCAGAACAGAGUAACAAUCACUGGUGUGGACAAUGUAUCUAAGGCUUAAGCUGGUGAGUAACACCCUCAACACCUGCUUCUCAGGUCACCUCACAAACCAGGUUUCAUUACUAUGCCAUAAAAGAAACAGGAGACACCAGAUCUUGUGAAAUGUUUAAAUAACUUUAAACUUUAUUAAGUAAAAAUUGCAUAAACACAACCAUAAGGUAAUGAAUAGAAAAAUUAAAUACAAACAAUCACUUGAAAUUAGAUUAUUACAUAACUGGUGGUUUCAAUCCUAAAUACUAAAUACCCAAUUUUCCACAGUGAGAAUAUUAAUCUAAUGAGAAAAAAAUUCAAUUUUGUCUUAACAUAUGCCAAAACUCUUUAAGAAAAAAAAUUUUAAUUAAUUGGAACUUAAAAAAAAAAAAAACAAUUCAAUACAGCAAUAGAUGGGGUUUGUAUUCAAUGAGACCUGAGAUAGAAAUGGACUUUUGCCAUUAUAGUUACUUCAAAUCAAUUUCCAAAACUAAGGCAGGUCUGGGACAGGAUGAGUCUUUAAAUGACCAUGGUGAUUUUCGUACUGGUCCUGGAGUCCAGUCAGUAGUUUGGCUGCAGUUCUACAUCCUGUAGAGGCCCAGCAGAGUACGGUGGUGCAGAAUAGCACCGGUCUGUGGAACUCAUUUUCAUUUCUCAUAUUAUUUUCAAGCUUUUAAAAAAUAUGAAAACAUAACAAAAAAAACCCCACCACACCACUAUUCCCUGCUUCAAUUUAACAGCAUACAACUCUGUCAUUAGAGACGCUAGUGAAGGGCUUCUGCCUCUUCCUGCUGAUGUCCCUCCUGAUCUUCAACAGGAAAUGGCACCGUGAUGAGCAUUCCUUUCAGAAAUAGUUCAAAAAAGAACUAUAGGAUUGGAAUUUGACAAUGGGCAAGGUUUGCAAAUGAAGAAAAGCAAACAGUCAGUGGGUUAGAGCCAGGCAGACAAAACCAAACAAAAGC
rnacentral:lncRNA from 1 species